UGGCUCAGAACGAACGCUGGCGGCAAGCUUAACACAUGCAAGUCGAACGGACCGUAUACGCAGCUUGCUGCGUGUAUGGUUAGUGGCAGACGGGUGAGUAAUGCAUAGGAAUCUACCUAGUAGUAUGGGAUAGCCACUAGAAAUGGUGGGUAAUACUGUAUAAUCCCUGCGGGGGAAAGAUUUAUCGCUAUUAGAUGAGCCUAUGUCAGAUUAGCUAGUUGGUGGGGUAAUGGCCUACCAAGGCGGUGAUCUGUAGCUGGUCUGAGAGGAUGAUCAGCCACACUGGAACUGAGACACGGUCCAGACUCCUACGGGAGGCAGCAGUGGGGAAUAUUGGACAAUGGGCGCAAGCCUGAUCCAGCUAUGCCGCGUGAGUGAGGAAGGCCUUAGGGUUGUAAAACUCUUCAGU
rnacentral:rRNA from 1 species